GGGUAGCAAUCGGGCCCGAGGAGAAGCUCCGCAUCAAAGCCUUCGGUGGAGUUGCGCGCUAUUAUUUUACCGUAAAUCUUUUAAAUUCUGGAACUAAUUACCUAGAGGAUAUGUCUCAAUUUGUUCUGCAUUAAUGCCACAUUGGGGAUGGAGCCGGGGCCACAACCAGAGCAGAAUCUCGAGUCCACCAAAUUGAUGAGCUGAGAGUUGCUCCAGCCCCGAGCCCGCCAUCUGGAAUUCCUGUCUGAGGUUACAGCUACAACUCUUGACCCCUCAUUCAACUUUGCAACGAAC
rfam:Ornithorhynchus anatinus chromosome 3, whole genome shotgun sequence.